GAUGAACGCUGGCGGUAUGCUUUACACAUGCAAGUCAUACGGAAGUUAGUUUCGGCUAACUUCAGUGGCGGACGGGUGAGUAACACGUGAGAAUUCGCCUUUAGGAGGGGGAUAACAGGGGGGAACACCUGCUAAAACCCCAUAUGCCUUCGGGUCAAAAGAGAAAUCUGCCUAAAGAGAAGCUCGCGGCUGAUUAGCUAGUUGGUGGGGUAAAGGCCUACCAAGGCGACGAUCAGUAGCUGGUCUGAGAGGAUGAUCAGCCACACUGGAACUGAGACACGGUCCAGACUCCUACGGGAGGCAGCAGUGAGGAAUUUUCUGCAAUGGGCGAAAGCCUGACAGGGCAAUACCGCGUGAGGGAAGAAGGCUUACUGAGUUGUAAACCUCUGUUACCUAAGGAGGAAGAUCUGACGUUACUUAGGAGACGAAGCAUCGGCUAACUCCGUGCCAGCCGCCGCGGUAA
rnacentral:rRNA from 1 species